rnacentral:rRNA from 1 species
UUGAUCCUGGCUCAGAACGAACGUUAGCGGCGCGCCUAACACAUGCAAGUCGAGCGAGAAGGGAGCAAUCCCAGUAAAAGCGGCGCACGGGUGAGUAACACGUAGGUAAUCUACCUCGAGGUGGUGGAUAACCUUCCGAAAGGAGGGCUAAUACAGCAUGAGACCACGUUUUCGAAAGAGAAUGAGGUCAAAGCGGGCCUCUCUACAGAAGCUCGCGCCACGAGAUGAGCCUGCGGCCCAUCAUGGUAGUUGGUAGGGUAACGGCCUACCAAGCCGAAGACGGGUAGCUGGUCUGAGAGGAUGAUCAGCCACACUGGAACUGAGACACGGUCCAGACUCCUACGGGAGGCAGCAGUGGGAAUCUUAGCGUCAAUGGGCAAAGCCUGACGCAGCGACGCCGCGUGAGUGAUG